CAAAAUUUGUGGUAAAAUGUAGUCCUCGUUGUUGUAGUAUUAAAAGAUGGGGCCUAUGGGGAAGUGAUUGAGUCAUGAAGGAUCUGCUCUCACGGACGGAUUAGUGCCUUGUAACCGGGAUGGAGGAAACUAACUUAGGUCUCUUUUUUCCUUCUGCCAUACGCAGCAACAAAGCACCAUCUUGGAAGCAGAGAGCCACCCUCACCAGAACUGAAUGCAGGCACCGUGACCUUGAACUUCCCAGCCUCCAGAACUAUGUGAGUGCACAUGGAAAUUUAUGGAGUCUCUCAGCAUUGUAGAAGAGCCUCUGUUUCUUCUCACUGGUUCCUGUCCUCCUCAGCUUGGUAUAUAACUCCUGAGGGCUGAAUACCUGGUUGCUGAAGGAUCCAGUCCCUGCCCUAUAACCGAGGAAGAAUUUCUACUUCCCCUUCCUGUCCAGAAGUGAUAUUCCCAGAUGAAGUGAGAAAUUAUAUGCUCUCUGGGAAAUGGCUAUCUGCAAAGACUUGUGGCAUUCUACUUUCUGGAUAUAUUGCCUUAUGUCUGGCAAACUGUACUGAUUAAAACUUUGAACAGAAGAAGGAAAAACUAAUUUGGAAGGGCUAAUCAAGACUCUCCAUAGUCCAAAAGGGAUGAUUUCUCAGUUGUGCAGAGAACCAAUAAACCUCCAUCCUGAGGACAAAAGUAAUUUUGUGAAACUGCAUGAAGUUUCUCUAGAGAGAGAGACUUCACAAAGCCCAGUGGUCACAGCUGUGCAGUGGAACCGAACUACUUUGAAUCUCUGCCAUCAAAGGAAAGAAUCUCAGGAUUUUCUGCUACAGAAGCAUGAUCGUGUUUAAAUUCUUAAAAUGCUGCAUUAGCAAGAAUUCUCCACAGAAACAGACUCUCUCUCUAGAGUUGAGAGAGAGAGAGAGUUAAUAUAGGAAUUGGCUCAUGGGACAAUGGAGGCCAAGAAGUUCCAGAAUCUGAUGUCUGCAAGCCAGCAAACAAAGCCAAUAAUGUAAUUUAGUCUGAGUUCAAAGGCCCAAGAAUGGAGGUACUGAUGGUAUAAUUCCUGAUCUGAGUCUAAAGGCCCAAGAACCAGGAACACUCAUGUUAACAGAAAAUGAAUAGGCCAGGUGCAGUGGCUCACACCUGUAAUCCCAGCACUUUGGGUGGCUGAGGCCGGCAGAUCCAUCGAGGUCAGGAGUUUGAGACCAGCCUGACCAACAUGGUGAAACCCUGUCUCUACUAAAAAUACAAAAAUUAGCUAGAUAUGGUGGUGUGUGCCUGUAGUCCCAGCUACUUGGGAGGAUGAGCCACAAGAAUGAACCCAAGAGGCAGAGGUUGCAGUGAACUGAGGUUGCGCCACUGCACUCCAGUCUGGGUGACAGAGCAAGAAGAAAAAAAGAAGAGAGAUUAAUGUCUCGGCUCCAUAAGGAAAGAGAAAAU
rnacentral:lncRNA from 10 species